GGUACCUACCCCCACUGGGUUUUCUACAUUAAAAAGUAUAUAUUUAUAUUUAUUCAAUUUAUACUUUUUAAUGUAGAAAACUCAAUGGGGGUAGGUAC
ensembl:miRNA